AACGAACGCUGGCGGCAGGCUUAACACAUGCAAGUCGAGCGCAUCCUUCGGGGUGAGCGGCAGACGGGUGAGUAACGCGUGGGGAUGUGCCUAGAGGUGGGGAAUAACUGUGGGAAACUACAGCUAAUACCGCAUAAGCCCUUCGGGGGAAAGAUUUAUCGCCUUUAGAUCAACCCGCGUCAGAUUAGCUAGUUGGUAGGGUAAUGGCCUACCAAGGCGACGAUCUGUAGCUGGUCUGAGAGGAUGAUCAGCCACACUGGGACUGAGACACGGCCCAGACUCCUACGGGAGGCAGCAGUGGGGAAUAUUGGACAAUGGGCGCAAGCCUGAUCCAGCCAUGCCGCGUGAGUGAUGACGGCCUUAGGGUUGUAAAGCUCUUUUAACAGGGACGAUAAUGACGGUACCUGUAGGAUAAGGCCCGGCUAACUUCGUGC
rnacentral:rRNA from 1 species